rnacentral:rRNA from 1 species
AUACAGAGGGUGCAAGCGUUAAUCGGAGUGACUGGGCGUAAAGGGCGUGUAGGUGGAUAGAUAAGUUAUGUGUGAAAUAUCCGGGCUUAACCUGGAGGGGUCAUGUAAUACUGUUUAUCUAGAGUAGAGCAGAGGGAAGUAGAAUUUCCGGUGUAGCGGUGAAAUGCGUAGAGAUCGGAAGGAAUACCAGUGGCGAAGGCGGCUUCCUGGGCUCAUACUGACACUGAGGCGCGAAAGCGUGGGUAGCAAACAGGAUUAGAAACCCUAGUAGUCC